rnacentral:rRNA from 1 species
GAUGAACGCUAGCUACAGGCUUAACACAUGCAAGUCGAGGGGCAGCAUGAAAGUAGCUUGCUACUUUUGAUGGCGACCGGCGCACGGGUGCGUAACGCGUAUCCAACUUUCCCGUUACUCUCGGAUAGCCUUCCGAAAGGGAGAUUAAUACGAGAUGGUGUUCAAAUUCCGCAUGUUAUUUGAACUAAAGAUUCAUCGGUAACGGAUAGGGAUGCGUGACAUUAGAUAGUAGGCGGGGUAACGGCCCACCUAGUCUACGAUGUCUAGGGGUUCUGAGAGGAAGGUCCCCCACACUGGAACUGAGACACGGUCCAGACUCCUACGGGAGGCAGCAGUGAGGAAUAUUGGUCAAUGGUCAGAAGACUGAACCAGCCAAGUAGCGUGAAGGAUGAAGGUUCUAUGGAUUGUAAACUUCUUUUAUACGGGAAUAAAGCCCACUACGUGUAGUGGUUUGUAUGUACCGUAUGAAUAAGCAUCGGCUAACUCCGUG